rnacentral:misc_RNA from 1 species
AGCCGCGGUAAUUCCAGCUCCAAUAGCGUAUAUUAAAGUUGUUGCAGUUAAAAAGCUCGUAGUUGAAUUUCGGGAUCAAUAUUUCGGUCAUGCCGUUGGUAUGCACUGUUAUCAUUGAUUUCUCACCUUCUAAAGAACCGUAAUGCCAUUAAUUUGGUGUUACGGGGAAUUAGGACUGUUACCUUGAAAAAAUUAGAGUGUUUAAAGCAGGCUCACGCUUGAAUACAUUAGCAUGGAAUAAUGAAAUAGGACAUCCGAUUCUAUUUUGUUGGUUUCUAGGAUCGAUGUAAUGAUUAAUAGGGAUAGUUGGGGGCAUUAGUAUUCAAUUGUCAGAGGUGAAAUUCUUGGAUUUAUUGAAGACUAACUACUGCGAAAGCAUUUGCCAAGGAUGUUUUCAUUAAUCAAGAACGAAAGUUAGGGGAUCGAAGACGAUCAGAUACCGUCGUAGUCUUAACCAUAAACUAUGCCGACUAGGGAUCGGAUGAUGUUAAUUUUUUAAUGACUCAUUCGGCGCCUUACG